rnacentral:rRNA from 1 species
UGAGGAAUAUUGGUCAAUGGGCGCGAGCCUGAACCAGCCAUUCCGCGUGAAGGAAGAAGGCCUUAUGGGUUGUAAACUUCUUUCCUGUAAGAAGAAAACCCCCGACGUGUCGGGGCUUGCCGGUACCCUGGGAAUAAGCAUCGGCUAACUCCGUGCCAGCAGCCGCGGUAAUACGGAGGAUGCGAGCGUUAUCCGGAUUUAUUGGGUUUAAAGGGUGCGUAGGCGGAUUAAUAAGUCAGUGGUGAAAACCUUCAGCUUAACUGGAGAACUGCCAUUGAUACUGUUAGUCUUGAGUACGGUCAAGGUAGGCGGAAUGUGUAAUGUAGCGGUGAAAUGCUUAGAUAUUACACAGAACACCGAUUGCGAAGGCAGCUUACUGGGCCAUUACUGACGCUGAGGCACGAAAGCGUGGGGAGCGAACA